rnacentral:tRNA from 1 species
CCUGGUGGCUCAGCGGUAAAGAAUCUGCCUGCAAUGCAGGAGAUGCAGGUUCGAUUCCUGGGUCAGGA